CCUACGGGUGGCAGCAGUGGGGAAUAUUGCACAAUGGGCGAAAGCCUGAUGCAGCAACGCCGCGUGAGCGAUGAAGGCCUUCGGGUCGUAAAGCUCUGUCCUCAGGGAAGAUAAUGACGGUACUUGAGGAGUAAGCCCCGGCUAACUCCGUGCCAGCAGCCGCGGUAAUACGUAGGGGGCUAGCGUUAUCCGGAAUUACUGGGCGUAAGGGGUGCGUAGGUGGUUUCCAAAGUCAGAGGUGAAAGGCUACGGCUAAACCGUAGUAAGCCUUUGAAACUGGUGCACUUGAGUGCAGGAGAGGAGGGUGGAAUUCCUGGUGUAGCGGUGAAAUGCGUAGAGAUCAGGAGGAACACCAGUUGCGAAGGCGGCUCUCUGGACUGUAACUGACGCUGAGGCACGAAAGCGUGGGGAGCAAACAGGAUUAGAUACCCGUGUAGUC
rnacentral:rRNA from 1 species